UACGAAGGGGGCUAGCGUUGUUCGGAAUUACUGGGCGUAAAGAGUACGUAGGCGGUACGUUAAGUUAGAGGUGAAAUCCCAGGGCUCAACCUUGGAAUUGCCUUUAAAACUGGCGAACUUGAGUCCGAGAGAGGGUGGCGGAAUACCCAGUGUAGAGGUGAAAUUCGUAGAUAUUGGGUAGAACACCAGUGGCGAAGGCGGCCACCUGGCUCGGCACUGACGCUGAGGUACGAAAGCGUGGGGAGCAAACAGG
rnacentral:rRNA from 1 species